GCCGCCCUAGAGCCUUUCCCCUAUAACAGUGAAAUCAACAAUGACUGUGUCAGGAGAGAUCUUUAACUUAUUAUUUAUUACAAGAUAUUCUAAUGUUUAAAGAGCAAUCCAACAUAAAUGAAGAGAACAUAAGAAACAGCAUACACAAUACUGGACAUCACAGGACCCUCUCUGGCUGGAUACCAGGCUGUGGAACCACCAGAUGCUUCAGAUGAGAAAGGUUGGAUCUGUUUCACAGGGAAGGGGCUAAACUAUUUCAAGAAGCGACCACACGCUGGGCACUCUGGAAAAAAUGACAAGCAAACCAGCUCGUUUAAAGGAUUCUAAAGAUUCCAAGUUAUGGUCCACAGUCAAUAUAUAUUCAGCCCCAACUCUGACAACUAUAUCUAAGGAAACAUCCAUUAAGGAAAGUACUUUGCAACCUACCAAGUAUCAUCACAAGAGCUAUGAAAGUGAAGAGAGACAUACGUUAUCUAAGAAUCUCAGAGAGAUGACUCAGUCAGCAUCCUCUCUUGGUGUACAAUGGUAGGGACAGCUACUGUGUCAUCUGGAGCAUGACAAUGAGAACACAGACACUGGAUCGUCCUGAUAUAGCCUGCAGUCCAUCUGGGCCUCUAGACAUUCAUUUGCAUUUGCAUUCAUGCGCAUCCCCUACUACUCCAACUCCUACACCUUUUGGCAGGAUAUAUCCACACAGCUGGAUUGGAAUCACAAGAUGUUUUUAUUUUUUG
rnacentral:lncRNA from 1 species